rnacentral:rRNA from 1 species
CCUAAGUCGAGUCCGAAAGGGGUAGACGAUGGAAAAUAGGUUAAUAUUCCUAUACCGACAUAUUAUCGUUUGAGUGAUGGGGGGACGCAUAGAGUUAAAGGGGCUCACUGAUGGAAUAGUGGGUCGAAGGAUGUAGGUCGACAGAUAGGAAAAUCCGUUUGUCAUGAGACCGAGAUCUUACAGGCAGAGCAAUUGCUUCGGCAAGCGCUUUGAACCCUUGAUACUGUCGUGCCGAGAAAAGCCUCUAAACGAGAUAAUAUGUUGCCCGUACCGUAAACCGACACAGGUGGGUGAGAUGAGUAUUCUAAGGCGCGUGGAAGAACCCUGGUUAAGGAACUCUGCAAACUAGCACCGUAUCUUCGGUAUAAGGUGUGCCCUUAGUACGUAAGGAAACUAGCUUUCUAAGCGGAAUAGGGCGACAGCAAAGAGUCCCUCCCGA